UACGUAGGGGCCGAGCGUUGUCCGGAUUUAUUGGGCGUAAAGCGCGCGCAGGCGGCCUCGCGCGCCCGACGUGAAAGCCCCCGGCUUAACCGGGGAGGGUCGUUGGGGACGGCGGGGCUUGAGGGCGGGAGAGGGUGGUGGAAUUCCCGGUGUAGUGGUGAAAUGCGUAGAGAUCGGGAGGAACACCCGUGGCGAAGGCGGCCACCUGGGCCUGUACUGACGCUGAGGAACGAAAGCGUGGGGAGCGAACAGG
rnacentral:rRNA from 1 species